GUCCGGUGCGAACCCGGCGCUGUCCCGCAACUGUGGAGGCCCCGCCCGGCGGUGCCCGAGCCAGG
rnacentral:ncRNA from 1 species